GUCUAUGGCCAUACCACCCUGAACGUGCCUGAUCUUUUCUGAUCUCGGAAGCUAAGCAGGAUCAGAGACCACCUGGGAAUACUGGGUACUGUAGGCU
rnacentral:rRNA from 1 species